GUCCCCACCAGCCAAGCAGCCCGCCUUCCGCCCUGAGUUUCCUUCCCUCGGGCUAUUCCUCCUUGGUUCACUUCGGACCCUAAAAACGCCACAAACAAGGAGCAGAGUGACUGAGGGAAGGGCGAGCCCCAGGGCGGCAAACGUUGCCAGCCUAAAGAGAGCCUUAAGAGGGUCGGGAGCGCCCGCCGCCUUCCAUUGCGCCUCUCGCGUCGGGAGCGGCCGGCCGGGCGGAGCCUCCGUUGCCACGGCCACCGCGUGGCGGCUUGUGGCGUCCGCGGUCGCCCGAGGAGCCCCGAGAUGAACAGGAAGAAGCAGCAGAAGCUCGCCGAGUCGCUGUGCAGAACCGCGAGGCACUUCAAUAAAUUUGAAGUGGAAUGUCUUAUAAAGCUUUUCAACAAUUUGGGGGUGGAACCCAGCGACCGGCAUGCUGCUGUUGGUUUGGAUCGUAACUCCUUUCGAAAUAUCCUGCAUGUCACAUUUGGUAUGACAGAUGACAUGAUUAUGGACAGAGUGUUCCGUGCUUUUGAUAAAGACAAUGACAGCUGUGUCAGUGUAACAGAAUGGGUAGAAGGUUUAUCAAUAUUUCUUCGGGGGACACUGGAGGAAAAAAUAAAAUAUUGUUUUGAGGUCUAUGACAUGAACAGUGAUGGAUAUAUUUCACGGGAGGAAAUGUUUCAUAUGCUGAAGAACAGCCUGCUAAAGCAGCCAUCGGAAGAAGAUCCUGAUGAAGGAAUUAAAGAUUUAGUAGAAAUUACUUUGAAGAAAAUGGCAAGUAUUGUAAUGACUAUGACCAUGACGGCAAACUCUCUUAUGCGGAUUUCGAAAACGCUGUGAGAGAUGAAAACCUCCUUUUAGAAGCAUUUGGACCAUGCUUACCUGAUAUAAAGUGCAGAAUGGCAUUUGAAUCACAAGCAUUCCAAGAUAGUCCCGAUCUGUAGCUCUACAAAUGACUUAUACUAUGUGAAUGUCCUUGAAAAGGAUACCAUUAAUCUUUUUAAGUAAAGGCAAGUCAGAAAUAUUUUUCUCUAUACCUUUUCCUCUAUUUUCAUAAUGCCUUCAUUUCAAUAUACUUGCUAGAAAAACCAGUAAGACAUUAAUGGAAAAUAUUUUGAUGUGUCUACACUCUUGUGAAGCAAUACAUUCAUAAGGACUACAAAAACAAUGGAACAAGGUACAUUUUAGUUGAAUUUCAGCAUAAUUGCUAAGUUUAUUAAAUAAAAUGUACAAGAAUACUUUAA